ACACUACUGAGGAGUCCCACAUAGGACGAAACGGUCGUACAAUAU
rnacentral:hammerhead_ribozyme from 1 species